CCUACGGGAGGCAGCAGUGGGGGAUAUUGCACAAUGGGGGGAACCCUGAUGCAGCGACGCCGCGUGGGUGAAGGAGUGCUUCGGCAUGUAAAGCCCUAUCGGCAGGGAAGAAGCAAGACGGUACCUGACUAAGAAGCCCCGGCCAACUACGUGCCAGCAGCCGGGGUUAUACGGAGGGGGCGAGCCGUGACCGGAUGUACUGGGGGUAAAGGGAUCGGAGACGGGCAUGCAAGCCAGGGGUGAAAACCCGGGGCCCAACCCCGGUACUGCCCUUGAAACUGCAUGGCGAGAGUGCGGGAGAGGCAGGCGGAAUUACUGGUGUAGCGGUGAAAUGCAUAGAUAUCAGGAGGAACACCGGCAGCGAAGGCGGCCUACUGGACCGAGACUGACGUUGAGGCUCGAAAGCGUGGGGAGCGAACAGGAUUAGAUACCCUUGUAGUC
rnacentral:rRNA from 1 species